GACGGAGGGCGCAAGCGUUGUUCGGAAUUACUGGGCGUAAAGCGCGCGCAGGCGGGAAGGUAAGUCUGGAGUGAAAUUCCGGGGCUCAACUCCGGAGCUGCUUUGGAUACUGUCUUUCUAGGGACCGGUAGAGGCCGGUGGAAUUCCCGGUGUAGCGGUGGAAUGCGUAGAGAUCGGGAAGAACACCCGUGGCGAAGGCGGCCGGCUGGGCCGGGUCCGACGCUGAGGCGCGAAAGCUAGGGGAGCAAACGGG
rnacentral:rRNA from 1 species